rnacentral:rRNA from 1 species
UCGGAGAGGGCGCAUGAGAAACGGCUACCACAUCUACGGAUGGCAGCAGGCGCGCAAAUUACCCAAUGCAGACACUGUGAGGUAGUGACGAGAAAUAAUAAAGCGGGACUUCUGUUUCGCUAUUAUAAUGAGGAAUAACCAAAGGUCAUUCCGAUUAGCAACUGAUGGGAAAGUCUGGUGCCAGCAGCCGCGGUAAUACCAGCGUCAGUAGCAUAUAUUAAAAUUGUUGCAGUUAAAACGUCCGUAGUCUGUACGUCGUCCCAAACUCACUGCAGUCUUCCGUUUUCUUAAUUGAAUGCGGUAGUUUCUGCAGUCACUCCCUUGAUCAAAUUAGGUUGUUCAAGGUAGACCAAGUCUUCAUAUUUUCACAUGGAAUUGGGUGAGGGAACUUAAGAGUUUAAGUUUCUCGUCUUAGGAUCAUCCGGGGUCAUUCGUACUCGUCCGCGAGAGGUGAAAUUCUUGGACCGGACGAAGACGACCAGCAGCGAAAGCAUCUGUCAGGGAUGUUUUCUGCGACAAAGGACGAAGGUCAGGGUAUCGAAGACGAUUAGAUACCGUCGUAGUCCUGACUGUAAACUAUGCCAACUUGGGUCUUGCUGGGCGAUGCUUUGUGAGACCCACACAGAAAUGAAAGUGUAUGGGUUCUGGGGGUAGUAUGGACACAAGUCUGAAACUUGAAGGAAUUGACGGAAGAGCACCAUAAGACGUGGAGCUUGCGGCUUAAUUUGACUCAACGCGGGAAAACUUACCAGGUCAAGACAUGGGCGUGAUUGACAGGCUAAUGACUCUUCUCGAUUCCAUGGAUGGUGGUGCAUGGUCGCACUUAGUUGGUGCAGUGAUUUGUCAGGUUUAUUCCGGUAACGAACGAGACCUCGGCCUUGUAAAUAGCUAUGCUGCUUACAGGGACAUUGGCGGCUACGCCAAGGAAGCUCGAGGCAAUUGCAGAUCUGGAAUGCCCUUAGAUGUCCUGGGUCGCACGCGUGCUACAAUGACGCCACGAACGAGCUUGCAUGAUGAAAGUUAUGCAUAAUCAGCAGUCGGCGUCUUAAGGGAUAGUCUCUUGUAACUGUGGGACUCCAACUAGGAAUGUCUCGUAAGCACAAGUCAACAUCUUGUGUUGAUUACGUCCCUGCUCUUUGUACACACCGCCCGUCGCUCCUACCGAUCGAGUGUUUAGGUGAAUUUGAUGGACGUAAGGAAGUCAAAUAAACCUGAGCACUUAGAGGAAGGAGAAGUCGUAACAAGGUAGCCGU